rnacentral:rRNA from 1 species
GAUGAACGCUGGCGGCGUGCCUAAUACAUGCAAGUCGAGCGAACGGACGAGAAGCUUGCUUCUCUGAUGUUAGCGGCGGACGGGUGAGUAACACGUGGAUAACCUACCUAUAAGACUGGGAUAACUUCGGGAAACCGGAGCUAAUACCGGAUAAUAUUUUGAACCGCAUGGUUCAAAAGUGAAAGACGGUCUUGCUGUCACUUAUAGAUGGAUCCGCGCUGCAUUAGCUAGUUGGUAAGGUAACGGCUUACCAAGGCAACGAUGCAUAGCCGACCUGAGAGGGUGAUCGGCCACACUGGAACUGAGACACGGUCCAGACUCCUACGGGAGGCAGCAGUAGGGAAUCUUCCGCAAUGGGCGAAAGCCUGACGGAGCAACGCCGCAUGAGUGAUGAAGGUCUUCGGAUCGUAAAACUCUGUUAUUAGGGAAGAGCAUAUGUGUAAGUAACUGUGCACAUCUUGACGGUACCUAAUCAGAAAGCCACGGCUAACUACGUG